CGCGCAGCCCGCCUCUUUCAUGUAUAACCCUUGAUCCCAUCACCACACCACGUCAUCUUCACCAUGGCAUUGUCGUCCCCAAAAAAGACAUGCCCUCUUUUACGCCACGUCCAGAAUGAGGGAUGCUACAUUUACGCCAGCCUGUUCAGUGCAGCUUUGCAAUGUUUGGAGGGCUGGAGGAGAAGGCAAAAGCAAACAGUCCGUUUCAUCCCUUUUCUUUUGGGCCUAUUCUGCUUAUUGUGAGCUGAGUGUGUAAUGUGGCGGCGAGGGGCGGGGGGAGAGCAGGGAAGCAGUAAGGGGGUAAAGAACCUGAUUGCUUUAAUCUCAGUGUUGUGCGGUUUUGGCCUUUCAUGGGGCACUGAGGCUGUGUGAUUCAGAGCUCUGGCCCCAGCUCCUCUCACCCGCUCAUUGUUCUCUACAGAAAAUCAAUUCUCUUGAAGACCCUCCUUAAUCCCGUUUUUCGCUGGCCACAAAGGCCACUUGUGUGCGACCCCGCUGGACUAUGGACUGGGAUGAUGUGGAUGUCUGCUCGGAUUCCAGCUCUUUCAGGAGAGCCUUUGAAGAUGAAACAACUGCAUUCCGAGUCCCAGUCUCCCUCCCUGGAGACAUGCUUUCCAAAAGGCUACAGCCACAGCACAGAGCCAGCCUUGACAUUUGCAUAAAUCCAUCAGCGUCACCACGACAGCACUGACUCCUAGGUCACCAUCCGCCGUUAAAUUUAGAAAAAAAUAAAUAAAAAAUAGGCAGAAAUGGUGAAAAAAAACCCAGCAAAUCUUGUAAAGCUUUUGCACUGCUAUGCUGCAGUCAGAUGAUUACACUGACAGCUCUCAAAUGAGCGCCUUUAAGGCACAAGCUAUACAAAAAACAGCCAUGGCUUUUGUUAUUGCCUUGAGUUUUACAACAUGACAUGUAAGUUGUGUGUGAGAUUGUUUAUGUGUGAGAGAGAGUGCUGCUUGAUGGAGGAGGCAGUGCAUAUGAAUUCAUCUGUCUAAGAUUCAUGAGUAAAUGCUGUGGACAAGGCCAUUGGUCUCACCUGGCUGUCGAUUGUCUUAAUUUCACCGGUGUCACUUUCAAUUUAGCCGGCGGCUGAGAUGAGAGUUAACUCUGCAGGCUGCACGCACACCAUUCCACCUCCUGCUCUCUGGAGCUACAAGUCUGCGGGCUGCAACAGCAGUGGCUUACAAGCAGGAAGUAGACAACUGUAUCAGAAGAAUUCAUAAUCAGACUGAAUUGGUAGUUUGGUUAGCUACCUAGCAACACCAGAGUUACCCUAGCAACUGACAAGUGAACAUUCAUGAGUUGCCACAUCACUAAAGCUGUUCCACCAUCACGGUACUUCUGUUCAGAGUUGGGUUAGCUAACCGUGCUGAGAAAUCUGUGCCUGGAAUGAUUUGUAUUUGUACAAUGCUGAAUCUUGUUCCAAUGGAAAUGCUACUGAUGUUGUUUCUCAGUUCUCAAAAGUGGUCUGUGCUUUAUGAUGACUGAUGUGAUUGUUAGAAAUACUGUGCAUAAAUUGUGCUCAUCAUUUUACAUACCCCUUACAUUAAAAAAAAGGCAUUUUUUUUAUUUCUUUACUAGUGCAGGUAUGAUGUUGUAGAUCCAGCUUUGACACACAGGACAGUUGAAGGCCUCACGCAGAAUUCAUAAAACAUUGCAAACAUCUGAUGCUUGAGGAGGCAAGGCACAAAGGUAAGUAGUAUUAAAACUUUUAAACGAGACAAAAAAGUUUUAGCUGUGGAAUAGUUAAAUAUUGGUUAUGCAGCUACUACAGCGAGGAACUGAAAAAAAACAAUUAUGAUCUAAUUUAUAUAAUAUAAUUUAUAUAACAUGAUUACAUUUGUCUCUUUUCCAUUU
rnacentral:lncRNA from 1 species